UGGGGAAUUUUGGACAAUGGGCGAAAGCCUGAUCCAGCAAUGCCGCGUGUGUGAAGAAGGCCUUCGGGUUGUAAAGCACUUUUGUCCGGAAAGAAAUCCUUGGCUCUAAUACAGUCGGGGGAUGACGGUACCGGAAGAAUAAGCACCGGCUAACUACGUGCCAGCAGCCGCGGUAAUACGUAGGGUGCAAGCGUUAAUCGGAAUUACUGGGCGUAAAGCGUGCGCAGGCGGUUUGCUAAGACCGAUGUGAAAUCCCCGGGCCCAACCUGGGAACUGCAUUGGUGACUGGCAGGCUAGAGUAUGGCAGAGGGGGGUAGAAUUCCACGUGUAGCAGUGAAAUGCGUAGAGAUGUGGAGGAAUACCGAUGGCGAAGGCAGCCCCCUGGGCCAAUACUGACGCUCAUGCACGAAAGCGUGGGGAGCAAACAGGAUUAGAUACCCUGGUAGUCCACGCCCUAAACGAUGUCAACUAGUUGUGGGGAUUCAUUCCUUAGUAACGUAGCUAACGCGUGAAGUUGACCGCCUGGGGAGUACGGUCGCAAGAUUAAAACUCAAAUGAAUUGACGGGGUCAUAGCUGUUUCCUG
rnacentral:rRNA from 1 species